ACGGGUGAGUAAUGUCUGGGGAUCUGCCCGAUAGAGGGGGAUAACCACUGGAAACGGUGGCUAAUACCGCAUAACGUCGCAAGACCAAAGAGGGGGACCUUCGGGCCUCUCACUAUCGGAUGAACCCAGAUGGGAUUAGCUAGUAGGCGGGGUAACGGCCCACCUAGGCGACGAUCCCUAGCUGGUCUGAGAGGAUGACCAGCCACACUGGAACUGAGACACGGUCCAGACUCCUACGGGAGGCAGCAGUGGGGAAUAUUGCACAAUGGGCGCAAGCCUGAUGCAGCCAUGCCGCGUGUAUGAAGAAGGCCUUCGGGUUGUAAAGUACUUUCAGCGGGGAGGAAGGCAGUGAGGUUAAUAACCUUACUGAUUGACGUUACCCGCAGAAGAAGCACCGGCUAACUCCGUGCCAGCAGCCGCGGUAAUACGGAGGGUGCAAGCGUUAAUCGGAAUUACUGGGCGUAAAGCGCACGCAGGCGGUCUGUUAAGUCAGAUGUGAAAUCCCCGGGCUUAACCUGGGAACUGCAUUUGAAACUGGCAGGCUUGAGUCUCGUAGAGGGGGGUAGAAUUCCAGGUGUAG
rnacentral:rRNA from 1 species